rnacentral:tRNA from 1 species
GGGCGGUUAGCUCAGUUGGUAGAGCAUCCCGUUGACGUCGGGAAGGUUCAUAGGUUCGAGCCCUAUACCGCCCACCA